UAUUAAAUGAGAUUGAAACAAUGACUCUGAAGAAUGGAGAAGGACUGGAGGACUGUCAUCUUAUAAUUACUAAUCUCAAGACUCCACAGGAAAUAUUUUUAGAAUUUUUACAAAUUUAAGAAUUUUACAAUAUUUUAAAAUUCAGGAAGAGUUGGAAAACAAGUUUUGUAUUUCUAAAAGAAAAAGAGAGUGCGUGUUCAUCAAAAUAACCGAAUCUACAGUUGUAACAGAUCUGACAAAGUCUAGUCUUGAGAUUCAGAAAACUGAUGAUUUAAGUAUUCUUAAUCUUUAUUUUCCUGGUUGUGGACAAAUAUACAGAAAUAUGUGGAUAUUUAAUCAUAAGCAUAACAGAACUACUAGAAAUACAAGGCUUAAAAUAAAGCAUCUGUGUAUGCUCAAGGGGGUUCCACGAGAUAGAUUUGAUUCUCUCCAGGUUAAAGAUCUUGAGGGUAUUAAUGUUCGUGUGGAACACUUUGAUAUCUACUGGUUUUACAGGGCCUCAUACAAUGGAACAAAUAAGAAUGGAGAAGUGAUACCUUCUGGACCAGAUUAUUCAGCUUUUUAUAUUUUUGCUGAACAUUUUGGUCUGAGCUUUACGAUGAAAGUAGAAGAUCGUUGUAUUUUUGGUUAUGAUUCCAACUUUACAGGGGGAUGCAAACAUAUUGUUGGCAAGUUUGAGUUAACAUUGAUAGUUCUCUAAUCCUUGAACAUUUCAGGGGACAUUAGUUUCAAACCUGAUAGUUCUCUAAUCCUUGAACAUUUCAGGGGACAUUAGUUUCAAACCUGAUAGUUCUCUAAUCCUUGAACAUUUCAGGGGACAUUAGUUUCAAACCUGAUGGUUCUCUAAUCCUUGAACAUUUCAGGGGACAUUAGUUUCAAACCUGAUAGUUCUCUAAUCCUUGAAUAUUUCAGGGGACAUUAGUUUCAAACCUGAUAGUUCUCUAAUCCUUAAACAUUUCAGGGGGCAUUAGUUUCAAAACUGAUAGUUCUCUAAUCCUUAAACAUUUCAGGGGACAUUAGUUUCAAACCUGAUAGUUCUCCAAUCCUUGAACAUUUCAGGGGACAUUAGUUUCAAACAGCAAUUACACUUAGGGUCAGUGUUUGGAGCUAAUUUCCCCUGUAUUAAAUUGUUUACUUAAUACUUAUAAUUAAAAAAGCAGUAUUUUGAUAACAAUGGCAUUUCCUUAAAAUGGGUUUGAGUGAAAAAUUUAUAAAUGCUAUUCAAAUUGUAAAGUUGAAUAACCGGUUCAAGCUUAAAGUCAUUUAUUUAGUGUACAUUCUUGAAAAUUGUUCAAAGCAAGGACUCAAAAUCCAGUGAAAGAAAUUUAUACCCCCUGAAAGUCACUUGCUCAGUAAUUUUAAAUUUUAUUUAUCCAU